AAGAGCGUCAUUAAUUAUUUUCAUACUGGCUUUGACAAUUUUUGUGAGCGCAGUCAGCUUAGGUGGAGUUGGAAUAGCAAACAUGGUUGAGAAGCUGGAGAACGAAGAGUACAUGGGGUUCGAAAAUCUUUGUCACCAAUCUUAGCUACAUUUUGCAUUAGAAUAUUGUAAGAAGUGGGAUUUCUCAGCAGGGGACUACAGCUUAUGAAUCCACACUACGAUCAGUUUCACUUUACCUUCAA